rnacentral:lncRNA from 1 species
GCAGGACUCCUCUUCUUUGGUAGCUUCUGGUUGGUAUUGCAGCAGCCUAGAAGAAAUAGGAGCAGUAGGAAGCAAUUAGUAAGAGUUCACUUGUCUUGGCUCCAGCACAAAUUUACAUACUUUUUCAGCAGUCUGUUGAAGCUUACCUGUCCCACCUGCAGAAGACAUUGCUUAACUUUCACACUUUCCAUCAAAGGCUACAUCAAGAAAUACCAAUACAGAUAGAAAUCUUCCUCCACAGCCUUGUAGAAAGAAUCCCAAAAGAUAAUCUGACCUUGAGCUUGAUCACAGUUCAGAAGAGGCAGGUGAAAGAGUGA